rnacentral:rRNA from 1 species
UACGUAGGGUGCGAGCGUUGUCCGGAUUUACUGGGCGUAAAGAGCGUGUAGGCGGCCACACAGGUCUGCUGUGAAAACUCGAGGCUCAACCUCGAGCUGUCGGUGGAAACCGUGUGGCUAGAGUCCGGAAGAGGAGAGUGGAAUUCCCGGUGUAGCGGUGAAAUGCGCAGAUAUCGGGAAGAACACCCGUGGCGAAGGCGGCUCUCUGGGACGGUACUGACGCUGAGACGCGAAAGCGUGGGGAGCGAACAGG